CGAGGACGAACGCUGGCGGCGUGCCUAACACAUGCAAGUCGAGCGAGGAGAUCCUCGGGAUGAUCCUAGCGGCGGACGGGUGAGUAACACGUGGGCAACCUGCCUCAUAGAGAGGAAUAGCCUUCCGAAAGGGAGAUUAAUACCUCAUAACAUUGCAGUUUCGCAUGGAACAGCAAUUAAAGGAGUAAUCCGCUAUGAGAUGGGCCCCGCGGCGCAUUAGCUAGUUGGUGAGGUAACGGCUCACCAAGGCGACGAUGCGUAGCCGACCUGAGAGGGUGAUCGGCCACAUUGGGACUGAGACACGGCCCAGACUCCUACGGGAGGCAGCAGUGGGGAAUAUUGCACAAUGGGGGAAACCCUGAUGCAAGCAACGCCGCGUGAGUGAUGACGGCCUUCGGGUUGUAAAGCUCUGUCUUCAGGGACGAUAAUGACGGUACCUGAGGAGGAAGCCACGGCUAACUACGUGCCAGCAGCGGC
rnacentral:rRNA from 1 species